GACCGCUCGGGGCUAGGCUCCGAGAUAAGCCCAUACGGACAGGCGGGUCGGCUGCCG
rnacentral:sRNA from 1 species